rnacentral:misc_RNA from 1 species
UGAUGAUAAAUGGACCUUCUGGCUAGAGGUAAAGCUCUGUCCUUUCUGAAAUUAUGAUUUUUUCCCCCAUUUUACGUUUGACUGUUAUUGCCAAUUGCUGCCCCUAACAUAUGAGUGUCCCUUGAAUGGCAUCAAGUACUUACAUUGUUUUGAUUUACUGAUCAUCACGAACUUAAUGAAAACUCAGGUGCUCCCCUUUGGACUUGUGCUAAGAAUUUUC